rnacentral:lncRNA from 1 species
GAUCUAUCCUGCUGCAGCCUUUCCUGUAGAUUUGUUGAUGGAGAUCUCACCCACACCUCAAACGACCUCAGAUCAACUCCAGAUCUGAGAGAAACUUGUACCAACCUCGUAGCAAGAGAUUUCAAGUCCUGGACCUGAUGUUUGGGUAGCUGCAAGAGAGGGAGAGGCAAUAUGGUUGGUGGCACAAAGGGGGAGGGGCUCAAAACCCUAGCGCCUCCCCUGCUUUUCCUGCCUUCUAUGG